AAGCGCUUUUGGCCAAAAAAAGCACUUUUGACCCAAAAAAAAAAAGCUUGGCCAAACAGGCUAUAAGACUUUUAUUGCUUUAGCUAUUGCUUUUAGGUGAUCCUUUUAUGUUUUUUUGUACACUCUAGUAACAUGAGAGGCAAGUAGAGGUUUCCUUUAUCGAAAGAAGCUAUAUGUCAAAAGAUGAGACAGUGACUGCUCAAGAAUGCACCAAUAGAACCAUGGCCCAACUUCUCGUGACAGGUGAAAAGGGGGGGAGAAAAGGAACGGGAAGGGCAUAAGUAUAACUUCUAGCAUGCUGCACAUAAGUGCAGUUUCAUGAUACACUUAUUACCUUCUCAAAGUUAUGAGCUACGACAAAAGCAGCUCUUGUCCAAAUUUUGGGUAGUAGUUGAAUUCCCUGAUCUAAAGUUUCAACAGAUGGAUAGUUUCAAUACAAAUCCACUGAGUUGUCAUGUCCUCUUGUCAAAUGAAUGUCAGUUGACUGACAACUUGAAUGUUGUGGCAAAUAUUGCACGAAUAUGCCCUCUUUUUCCUGCUUGGUCUGAUCUCUCUCCUCUUUUAAAAAAGAAAAACAAUUUUAUAAGCGUGUCAGACAUAACAUAGCUGAUUUUCAAGAACAUCUCGUCUCUUUUGCUGCUGGACUGUGGUUUACCUUUUAUUCUGAGUAUUAGUGGUUUGCCUUUUAUGCUAUAUUUCUAUUUUCCGCUUUUGCGUGGGUCCUAAAAGUCAUGUUUAAAGGGGUUGACUUUUUAUGCACCCACAGAGGAUUUUUCUUUCGCUUGAUAUCUCAUGCUUCUAUGUUUUCCCAAAAUCAUAUGUUGAGAAAUAGUUAUUUUCCAAUAGUUAACUUUGAAAAGAUAAAAUAAGUUCAUAGACACCCCAAAGUGCUCACUCAAAAGGGCUAGUCUGCAAGAGUUGAAAGGAAUAUAAGAUUUCUGCAUCCCUUGUAUGUUAGCCAUCAUUCAAAAGUUUCUAUAUUUAGGUUUAUACAUAUUUCCUGGCUCUAUUUACCGGUUCUUUUGAAGAUUCAGAAAGUGACAAUAGAUAAUAGCUUUUUGCAUCCUUUUCUUCGAGAUCAGAACCUUAACCUGUCCGGAUCAAAUGCAUCACUUUUUCUGUUUGAAUAAUGAAUCUUUUUGUGGUUUCAGCAUGUAUAAUGAUGAAAUCUCCCCUUUCGGGACAAUCAGGUACAGCAAAUUGGAUGACUUAUUUCUGUUAGGUGUUAUUUUUCUUAUUAUUAUCCUCCCCUGUUCUUAAGUGUAUAUUUGUCUUGGCCCUUGUUUGGUUACAUUCUUAGUCACCACGAGAAGAAUAGUGAAGCUGUUCUUAAGUGUAUAUUCCUCAAUGAACUUAUCAUUUGAUAUAGUCCUGCCUGCCACUAGUGGAUAAGAAAAAGGAGAGCAAAGGAGUUCAAAAAAGAGAGAGAAGACUCUUUGCCAUAAAAUAAAAUCACUAAACAAAUGGCUUGUAAUGUAAAAUAGCAUACAGAAUCAAGUACUGGAAGAUGUGGCAAGGAAAGCUAAAGUAGAAUUCUAUAUAUGUAGAUUAGCCAAAACUUGGUCGUUCAAAUUUCUCAAUACUACAAAAUAUAAACCCCCAAUGUCUGUACAAUGAAAAAAUCAUGAGUUUGAAAGCAAGGAGCAACCUUAUCAGAGCAGAAAGAAGGAUGAAGUUGUAUAGCAGGAAGGCAGUAGAGUAGAAUAAGGAAAGUAAGUUGUGGUUUUGGCACUCACUAUGGUUUAUUCUAUGAAAACAAAAGAUGAUAUUGUAAAUUUUAAUGUGGUAAGUCACUGAUAUAAUUAUAUCAAAGUGAAUUUGAAUAGUGAUGUUGACGGAGACAAUGAGAACCGUUAAUGUAACUUUCUACGUGACAAAAGGUUACCUGGAACUUUUAUAUAGUGUGUAUAAUAAUAUGGUAGUUAGAUUAUUUUA